rnacentral:tRNA from 1 species
GCAGUGGAGGUUCAGUGGUAGAAUUCUGGCCUUCCAUGCAGGAGACCCAGGUUCGAUUCCCAGCCAGUGCA